rnacentral:rRNA from 1 species
UUUAUGGAGAGUUUGAUCCUGGCUCAGGACGAACGCUGGCGGCGUGCCUAAUACAUGCAAGUCGAGCGAACAGAAAAGGAGCUUGCUCCUUUGACGUUAGCGGCGGACGGGUGAGUAACACGUGGGCAACCUACCUUAUAGUUUGGGAUAACUCCGGGAAACCGGGGCUAAUACCGAAUAAUCUCUUUUGCUUCAUGGCAAGAGACUGAAAGACGGUUUCGGCUGUCGCUAUAGGAUGGGCCCGCGGCGCAUUAGCUAGUUGGUGAGGUAACGGCUCACCAAGGCGACGAUGCGUAGCCGACCUGAGAGGGUGAUCGGCCACACUGGGACUGAGACACGGCCCAGACU